rfam:Echinostoma caproni strain Egypt genome assembly, scaffold: ECPE_scaffold0025810
AUCCAGGCCUUUUUAAAGGCCACCGCAGUUGAGCAGCUUAUGACAUU